AUGACCCCUGAGCCCAUCAUUGACCUCUUCCCUACUACUGUUUUUCUCCUGUGGGCCAUGUCCAACCUCGAGUCCCAACCAGCCUGUUCCCCCCGGACAUCAGGGAGGCUGGACUUUGGGCCUCCUGUGCAGCUGCAGGUGGGCCUGGGCAGGAGGUUUGUGUUCAAGGCUGUAUCACUGUGUUAUGUGUUCGGCGGAGGGACCCAUCUGACCGUCCUAGGUCAGCCCAAGGCCGCACCCUCGGUCGCUCUGUUCCCGCCCUCCACUGACGAGCUCAGCAACGACAAGGCCACGCUGGUGUGCCUCAUCAGUGACUUCUACCCCGGCGUCGUGACGGUGGCCUGGAAGAAAAAUGGCAGCCCCGUCACCCAGGGCGUGGAGACCACCAAGCCCUCCAAACAGAGCAACAACAAGUACGCGGCCAGCAGCUACCUGAGCGUGUCGCCCAGCACGUGGAAGUCAGCCAGCAGCUACAGCUGCCACGUCACGCACGAAGGCAGCACCGUGGAGAAGUCCGUGACCCCCUCGGAGUGUUCCUAGGACCGGAGCCCCCACCCCUGGGCACUGGAUCCUUAGGUCCCCCAGGAAAAUCU